GCUUGUCUCAAAGAUUAAGCCAUGCAUGUCUAAGUAUAAAUCUUUUACUUUGAAACUGCGAACGGCUCAUUAUAUCAGUUAUAGUUUAUUUGAUAGUCCCUUACUACUUGGAUAACCGUAGUAAUUCUAGAGCUAAUACAUGCGUCAAUACCCUUCUGGGGUAGUAUUUAUUAGAUUGAAACCAACCGCUUCGGCGUGAUGUGGUGAUUCAUAAUAACUGAGCGAAUCGCAUGGCCUUGCGCCGGCGAUGGUUCAUUCAAGUUUCUGCCCUAUCAGCUUUCGAUGGUAGGGUAUUGGCCUACCAUGGCGUUAACGGGUAACGGAGAAUUAGGGUUCGAUUCCGGAGAGG
rnacentral:rRNA from 1 species